rnacentral:rRNA from 1 species
UACGAAGGGGGCUAGCGUUGCUCGGAAUCACUGGGCGUAAAGCGCACGUAGGCGGACUCUUAAGUCGGUGGUGAAAGCCUGUGGCUCAACCACAGAAUUGCCUUCGAUACUGUAGAGCUUGAGACCGGAAGAGGUAAGUGGAACUGCGAGUGUAGAGGUGAAAUUCGUAGAUAUUCGCAAGAACACCAGUGGCGAAGGCGGCUUACUGGUCCGGUUCUGACGCUGAGGCGCGAAAGCGUGGGGAGCAAACAGG